AUUGAACGCUGGCGGCAGGCCUAACACAUGCAAGUCGAGCGGAAGAAGGGAGCUUGCGCCUGGAUUCAGCGGCGGACGGGGGAGUAAUGCAUAGGAAUAUGCCUGGCAGGGGGGGAUAACGUCCGGAGACGGGCGCUGAUAACGCAGACGACCUGCGGGAGAAAGAGGGGGGGCGUCGGAACUCACGCUCGCAGAGGGGCGUAGGUCGGAUUAGCUAGUUGGUUGGGUAAAGGCCUACCAAGGCGGCGAUCCGUAGGUGGCCUGAGAGGAUGAUCAGUCACAUUGGAAGUUGGACACGGUCCAUACUCCUAAGAGAGGCAGCAGUGGGGAAUAUGGGACAAUGGGCGGAAGCCUGACCCAGUCAUGCCGCGUGUGUGAAGAAGGUGUUCGGAUUGUAAAGCACUCUAAGUGGGGAGGAACGGCAGUAGGCUAAUACCUUGCUGUUUUGACGGUAACAAGAGAAUAAGCACCGGCUAACUACGUG
rnacentral:rRNA from 1 species